rnacentral:rRNA from 1 species
ACCACUUGUUGCCUCGGCGGAUCAGCCCGCUCCCGGUAAAACGGGACGGCCCGCCAGAGGACCCCUAAACUCUGUUUCUAUAUGUAACUUCUGAGUAAAACCAUAAAUAAAUCAAAACUUUCAACAACGGAUCUCUUGGUUCUGGCAUCGAUGAAGAACGCAGCAAAAUGCGAUAAGUAAUGUGAAUUGCAGAAUUCAGUGAAUCAUCGAAUCUUUGAACGCACAUUGCGCCCGCCAGUAUUCUGGCGGGCAUGCCUGUUCGAGCGUCAUUUCAACCCUCAAGCACAGCUUGGUGUUGGGACUCGCGUUAAUUCGCGUUCCUCAAAUUGAUUGGCGGUCACGUCGAGCUUCCAUAGCGUAGUAGUAAAACCCUCGUUACUGGUAAUCGUCGCGGCCACGCCGUUAAACCCCAACUUCUGAAUGUUGACCUCGGAUCAGGUAGGAAUACCCGCUGAACUUAAGCAUAUCAAUAAGCGGA